AUGCCAGCAUUGCACACCCUGUGCCAGCGUUGCCCAUCCCGUAACGGCGUCAUGCACCCCAUGCCAGCAUUGCCCACCCCAUGCCGGCAUCGUGCAUCCCAUGCCAGCAUUGCCCACCCCAUACUGGCAUUGCCUGCCCCAUGCCAGCAUUGCACACCCUGUGCCAACAUUGCCCACCCCAUACCGGUGUUGUGCACCCCAUGCCAGCRUUGCCCACCCCAUGCYGGCAUCGUGCAUCCCAUGCCAGWAUUGCUCCCCCCAUACUGGCAUCGUGCACCCCAUACCGGCGUUGUGCAACCUGUGCUAGCAUUGCCCACCUCAUGCCAGCAUUGCACACCCUGUGCCAGCGUUGCCCACCCCAUGCCGGCAUCGUGCAUCCCAUGCCAGUAUUGCUCCCCCCAUACUGGCAUUGUGCACCCCGUGCCAGCAUUGCCCAUCCCAUACUGGCAUUGCCUGCUCCCUGCCUGCAUUGUGUGCCUCGUGCCCACAUUGUCCACCCCGUACCAGUGUUGCACACCCCGUGCCAGCAUUGCACACCCCGUGCCAGCAUUGCACACCCCAUGGGGACAUUGCCCACCACAUACCAGCAUUGCCCACCCUGUACCAGCGUUGCACACCCUGUACCAGCGUUGCCCGCCCUGUACCAGCAUUGCACACCUCAUGCCAGCAUUGCACACCCCAUGUGGACAUUGCACACCCUGUACCAGCAUUGCCCACCCUGUGCCGGCAUUGCACACCAGAGCAGGGGGGGGCUGGGGCCGGGGCUGGGGUUGAGGCUGCCGCUUGGGGCCGGCCCGUGGGGAUGAGGCAUGCUCCAGACAUGGGUUAAAAGCGACGGUGCCGAGGCUCCUGCUCUGCUCCGGAUUAAGCCGUUCCCACAUCCUCUUGCCACAAACCCUGCGCUGCAACUGCCAGGGCGCUGGGGCCGGCGCAGGGGAGUGGAGCCGGGGACUGGCAGGAGGCUGGGGAGCAGCGCCGAGGGGGGCCCGAGCUGGCCACAACCCCAGGAGCUGCAGCCCAGGCCACGGGGAGGGGCGGGAUGGGGGGUGCAGGCAGUGCCGUGCAUUGGCUCCGAGCAGGCUGCGGGGCUGCCGGAGGGCCCUGGCUGUGCCGUGUGCUCCAUCCCAUUCCUUGCAAGCUCGCUGGGUGCCUCAGUUUUUCCAAGCACCAAGUUUGCCAUUGCUCCCGAGUCCCCGUGUAGUUAAGGUCUGGCCAUCUGGAGCUGGAGCCCGGCCCCAGCCUCUUUCUUGCUGUUUCAAGGGGCGGCAAAGCUGGGUUUGUGGGAGCCGCGGUGGGAUCAAAAGGGCCAGCAAUGCCCUGCCAGGGCUGCGGUUUGGCACCGGGGCGGCUUUUUAUGUCAGCAAUGAAAAGAAUUGCUUCUGAAGCAUUCCUUCCACUGCAGCCCCGGGCGGUGGGGCCUGGCGCGCCGUUAACCCUGCCCGCGCUGCGUCCUGCCCCCGCUGCGUCCUGCUGCACUGCGUCCUGCUGCGCUGCACCCUGCCCAUGCUGUCUGCACUGCACCCUGCCUGCAUUGCACCCUGCCCCCACUGCGUCCUGCUGCACUGCGUCCUGCUGUGCUGCACCCUGCCUAUGUU
ensembl:lncRNA